CCUACGGGUGGCAGCAGUGGGGAAUAUUGCACAAUGGGGGGAACCCUGAUGCAGCGACGCCGCGUGGGUGAAGGAGUAUUUCGGUAUGUAAAGCCCUAUCAGCAGGGAAGAACAAUGACGGUACCUGACUAAGAAGCACCGGCUAAAUACGUGCCAGCAGCCGCGGUAAUACGUAUGGUGCAAGCGUUAUCCGGAUUUACUGGGUGUAAAGGGGGCGCAGACGGCGAUGCAAGCCAGGAGUGAAAGCCCGGGGCCCAACCCCGGGACUGCUCUUGGAACUGCGUGGCUAGAGUGCAGGAGGGGCAGGCGGAAUUCCUGGUGUAGCGGUGAAAUGCGUAGAUAUCAGGAGGAACACCGGUGGCGAAGGCGGCUUACUGGACCAUAACUGACGUUGAGGCUCGAAAGCGUGGGGAGCGAACAGGAUUAGAUACCCCAGUAGUC
rnacentral:rRNA from 1 species